rnacentral:tRNA from 1 species
GCCUGGGUGGCUCAGUCGGUUGGGCGUCUGACUUCAGCUCAGGUCAUGAUCUCACAGUCUGUGAGCUCAAGCCUUGCGUCAGGCU